rnacentral:rRNA from 1 species
AGCGAACGCUGGCGGCGUGCUUAACACAUGCAAGUCGAGCGAAGGUGUUUCAAGGGUAACCUUGAGAUACACUUAGCGGCGGACGGGUGAGUAAUACGUGGAUAACUUACCUCUAGGCCUGGGAUAACCCCGGGAACUGGGGCUAAUACCUGAUAAGACCACAUUGUCUACGGACAAAGGGGUAAAGGUGGCUGUGCAAACAGCUAUCGCCAAAAGAUAGGUUCACGUCCCAUCAGGCAGUUGGUGAGGUAAUGGCUCACCAAACCAAAGACGGUAGCCGGCCUUGGCGGGUGAACGGCCACACGGGGACUGAGACACGGCCCCGACU